ensembl:lncRNA
AAACAAUAAAGGUUUAUUUCUUACUGACAGCAAAUCCAAUGUGGGUCGGUUGACUCCUCGGUAGCUUUUCUUUAAGCAGUGACUUCCGCAUCCUUCCUCCACUUGCAGCCAUCUACACAAGAAAAACGGUAACCACGGAAGUUAUAGGAACCAUUUUAAGGAAGUCAUGGAGGAAGCAUACGUCAUUUCCAACCACAUUCCAUUGGCCUAACUGCAAGGGAAACUGAGAAAAGUAGGUACCUCGUGUUGCCUAGAAGAAACCCAGCAUCACUGAGCAUGGAGCCAUUUCUGCCCUAUCAACGGUGAUUCCUCAUGACGCAGCAAAAAUGGCUGAGCUGUAACUGUGAAUGACAUAAGUUACCAUAAAAUCUUCUCCCUAAAGUUCUGGAGGGAUUUGGUUUUAUUGUGAUCCCUAAUGCCAGGCAGUGUGUGGCUCUCGUGGAUCUUUCAUAUACAAUUAUUUCUUAGAGGGGAAGUUGCACUGAAAUCUGCACUAUGCAAGGAAGAGAAUCUGAAGUCCUAGAGCAUUUGCAGGAGAAAUGACAUCUUAACAGUAUUGAAUCUUCUGAUCCGUGAACGUUCAUCUCCUUUAGAAACAAUGGCACAGCAGGAAACAGCCCACUCAAAAGCGAUGAUUCAAGAGAAUUGAAUAAAGAGACUGUUCACAAAAGGUAGACAGAGUUCAGAGAAAUUACAAAGAAUGUCUCCUUUUGGUUCUUCCAUUGAUCAUUCCAACCAAAAGCUGAAAGACAAGGGAGCCUGGUUUAUAGGAUCCGUGGAGGUCAACCUCCUGGAACCCAGAGCACGAUGAAGCUGGAGAGGGAAGCCAGAGAGGCAGAUGGAGAAUAUUCAGCACAGACAGCACGACACGAAUUUCCAUGCAUCAAGUUCCAAUCCUUAUUAUUGAAAUCACCAGCUUUGAAAGAACAGAAUGAGCUCACUUCCAUGGAUACAUCUCUUAAAAGAUAUUUUGUUUCUUCUAGUAUUAACAACAUUUCUUUUUCCUGUCUUUGUUCUCAAGGUCCUGCUAAGCCAGGAUGAUUGACACAGGGAUCUGAAAUGUAAUCUUAAGUGACAUUUACUCUUCCUUUAAAGCUGCUUAGCUCCAAUCUGUGGGGAUAUUAGUUCACUCUGGAUUUACUACCGAAAGAAAUGCCAGACAGUGAUAUCCAAACUCCCACAAAUAGUUGGAUAACUAUAUCCAGGUGUUUUUCAGGACAUGAUUUCAGGAAACCAUGAUUAAUUAUGUCAGUGGGCAUUUGGCCAUCACUAUAGCUUGAUGUAUAUUCCAAAGGGAGGAGAAUUCUCAGGCAGCUGCCAACACACACCUGGCACACACUGGUCUGUUAUCUGUCCCGGCAAUUCCUUCAGGAUCAUCCAGUCAGUGACUGGUCUAGUAUUAUACCUUAUUUAUUCUGACUACUAACAAGUACAUUCCUUUCUGGGAACCACUGGGCAAUUGUGCAAUUAGAAGAGGUCUAUUUGUAGCUGCUGUAUGUCAAGUUUUUCCAGGGAUGGAUGUUAAUCAACCCUGGCUUUUCUCUACAAUGGAAGGAUAUUAAUUGACCACCGGGAGUCAACUACAGCUAUAUCUUGGGGUAGUUCCUUUUCAAUUAUUUUACUACUCCCGUUGGCUUUAGCAAUUUUUGAAAAAUAAAUAUUUGGGAUUUAGAAAAUAGUUUCUUUACAGCUUUGAUCAUCAUUUGUUGGGAUGGAAGCUUGUCUCUAAGUUUCAAGCUACCAUAAAUACAGAGCCUGGGAAAUCUUUUCGAAGAGUGAGCAAUUUUCUGUCCUUAAUAAUAAUUAUUCUUGUUUAAAGAGCACCUACCACCUACCAGAAACUGUGCUAAGCUUUUAGGUACUUUAUAUUAUUAAUUCUCACUGCAGAUGCAUGAAAUAAAUAGCAUUAUCAUCCUUCAUCAGAGGCGAUUCUGAGAUUUAGCAAGGUGAUGUAACUUAAUGUUCAAGAUCAUGCACCCAGAAAGUGGCAGAGCCCUAUGGGAUUAGAAUGCAGGUUAGUCUGAUUCCAACGCCCAUAUUCCUACCCACCCUGAUAUUUGUCCACCUAACAAAACCUCUGACAGAGCGCCA